rnacentral:rRNA from 1 species
GAGGAGCUUGCUCCUCUGACGUUAGCGGCGGACGGGUGAGUAACACGUGGAUAACCUACCUAUAAGACUGGGAUAACUUCGGGAAACCGGAGCUAAUACCGGAUAAUAUAUUGAACCGCAUGGUUCAAUAGUGAAAGACGGUUUUGCUGUCACUUAUAGAUGGAUCCGCGCCGCAUUAGCUAGUUGGUAAGGUAACGGCUUACCAAGGCAACGAUGCGUAGCCGACCUGAGAGGGUGAUCGGCCACACUGGAACUGAGACACGGUCCAGACUCCUACGGGAGGCAGCAGUAGGGAAUCUUCCGCAAUGGGCGAAAGCCUGACGGAGCAACGCCGCGUGAGUGAUGAAGGUCUUCGGAUCGUAAAACUCUGUUAUUAGGGAAGAA